GCUCUGAGCAAGCUGUCAGCACAGAGCCCGACGCGGGGCUCGAACUCACAAACUGCGAGAUCGUGACCUGAGCCAAAGUCGGACGCUCAACCCACUGAGCCACCCAGGCGCCCCCGAAAAGGGCUCAUUUUUAAUGAAGGGGAUUCACCUACAUGGUGAAACUUUAGGCAGGGACUUUUUCCCCCAAAAGUUCCACAAUUGACUCAACUUGGGAAUCCCUAAUGAUUCCUUUUGGCCUGAGGCAGUGCUUCCCCUAGAGACCUCCACGAUAUGAAGCACCACUCACUCAAGGAGACCCUGGCCCAGUAAUGUGGCCUCCAUGUUGGGUUGGUAGGUAUCAGAAGGGUUCCUGUGUCUCUGGAUGGUUCAGUUUCUCAAAUUCGGUUCUCAAGCAAUGAUCUGUGAAGACCUCAGUGAGGUGGAAGCUAGAAGCAGGCACACCAGGGAAUUAAAGCGUAAAAGGAAUACUUUGCAUUGGUAAGCCAUCUGCAGCUAAUAUCUUCUGUCUCCCCGAGUCUUCCCCAGUGUGGGGGGACCCGCCACCGCCUCCAUCAGCAUCACCAUUACCCUCUGUCGUCGUGAUUUCAGCCACAGUCUGCGUCAACAACUAUCAGGCCGAGCUGGAAGAUGCCAGAAAAUGCUUUGGGCAAGCCGACUUCAAAUGAAAACAAAAACAGAAACAAACACGUACUGGUCACCAAUCAACCGGUGGGUUUCUUGGAAACAAUUUCUGAACCCAUGGAGAUUGAAAGCAGGCUAACCUCUCUUUGCUACGAAAAUACCGCAGGCUAGUUUCAAGAAAGGACAGGGACGUGAGGCCUGGAAAUACCCGUUGUUAAUGGUAGGAUACUUUGAAAUGAAUUGCUGCUACGUUUGACCUAUUCUGAAUUUUAUAGGUUCAACGUGGGUGAGAGAAAAGUGACUCACCUGCAGAGAAAAAAAAAAAAAUUUCCCAGAGGAUUUUUGGUUUCUAAAUGGGGCCCCUAUUUGAGUCAACCCAAAUCCUGCCAUGCUGUCGUAGGGUGGAUGGAGCGAAAUCAAAAGAGGGGGAGUUUUUCACCUCUGUUAAUGCUCAUGCGCACACCAUUCUUUCUCUUCAUAAAGCAGAGACCUCGAAGGUUGUUGUGAAUCCCCUCCCCCACCAUGUAUCGUGCUGUCUCAGGAAAGCAGACAGCCACGAAGGGAAAGAGAAAACUGGAAGGCCCGAGAAGUUGUAUGAAAGAAAGCAGCAUGGGUAAUUAUGUCACAAUAUAUCCUUGGGUGAGUUUCCUUUGGUCCCAGAGACCAUCGCACAUUUCAACUGAAGUAGGCUCCAUUUAGAAUUCAUUUCUGUCUAAACCCAAUCACGUCUUCUCCGCCUGGAGCAUCCCCAAUUUUUUUUUUUUUUUGAGGUUAAAGCUAUGAACAACGUCUUCUCUUGGGUGUCCCUUGAGCAGAGCUGGAGGGCUUGAGUCAGGUCGACUGGGGAAGUGAUUCUAGGAACAGAAGUCAGGGCGCUGGGGAGAGUAGAACAGAGAAGGAAGAGAAGACAAUCUGUGGAUGUAACUUGAGUUAGUAUGCACGGUGGUUUGAGAAUAUGGUUGCACAUUUUUGACACUCUUCCAAUCAAGAGCCAGAAUCUAUGCCCCCUCUCCUAGCCUGGGACUCUUCUAGCUGGUGGAAGCUAUGCUGUGUGAACCCCCAAUGCUAGAUUAGAAAAGGCCAUUCAUCUUCCACCUUGUUUCUAGAACAUUUGCUCUUGGGAUGCUGAGCCCCCACGCAAGCAGUAUGCCUCCCUGGAGGCUGCCAUGUUGCAAGGAAGCCCAAGCCACAUGGGGACACCAUGUUUAGACCCUCUGGUGGAUAGUCCCAGCUGAGAUUAAUCUUUGAGCCUUUCCAGGAAGACAUCAAACAUGGAAACGAAGAAGUCUCCAGAUGAUUCGGUCCCCCAGGGAUUUGAGUCACCCCCGGCACCAUACCUCUUCCUAGAGGGAGCCCUUCAGACACUAUGUGGUUGUGUCCUACCUGAGUUCCUGACCCACGGUACCAAUGAAUGUAACAGACUGGUCUUUGCUUUAUGUCGCUAAGUUUUGGGGUCAUUUGCUAUAUAGCAAUAGGUAACUGGGACACACGGGUGGGUAAGGGGGCUCCAUCCCGCUGGAGACCUUCUCAGGAACACUGAAAGUGUGCAUUCUCACUGUCUGCAGAUUCACUGGGAGGGGAAUGAUUACUCACUGACACUCAUCCCAAGCUGGCACUGUUUAUAUUUCCAUUAUGGUCUGCAUGGAUAUUUUCUCCAGAUAGUUCACAACUAGACCUUCCACUCCAUCAGAUCUUUGCACAAAUGUAGCCUUCUCGGGCAGGUUGUUCCUGCCCGUCCUUGUUAAGCUGCACCCUCUUGGCACGUAUCUCUCCUUCUGGUUUUAUUUAUCCCCACGGCACCUAAUGCCCUCCAAUAAUCUUUAUUUGGGUUACCCCUGUCUUCCCCUAAUUAGACUCCACAAGGGUAAUAAUGUGUGUCACUUUGCUCAACGCUUUAUCUUUGGCUCCCAGAAAAGUGCCCAGCAUCUAGUAGGCACUCUAAAAAAAUUUACUGAAUGAAGUAAACAAAAUUUAUUGCCUGAAAUUCAUUGCCUCGUUUACCGUUUAUCCUUCCCUGAAAGACAGAGAAACACAGUGUGCAUGAUUGUUAAUGUCUGGCAGAAAAAGAUACAUAAUUGAAAUAAAGGUUUCCAAUUUUUUGGAAAUUUCAAAUGAAUGCUACUUGAACUGGACUUCCUUUUCCGGGCCCACUCUUUUUCUUCUCAUUGUGAGCUCAAAACGUUGACUCUAGCUUAGCUUUUUAUUCCUUCUCAAAUACUGGCUUUAGUUCCUGGGUGGCCCCAUUGUCUACAAGAGACAUUUUAACAUGAUACGUUCAAGGUUACCGAUGCUAUUUUAAAUGUUUCUUAAAAAUUAUUUUGGUUUGGCAAGAUUCGGAAUCCAGAAACACAUUCUGUUAUGCAUUCUCUUACUUACUAUUUACAUAUUUCUUUAAAAAAACCAGUGAUUUUCGUUCUGUCUUAGAGUUACAUUCAUGCCUUUCUUUAUUGCCUCACGACACAAAAAUAUGUUUAAAAGGGACCUGCUUCCCCAGUGGCCCCUAAGUAAGUAUUUUCCAUCAGUUGAUACAUCUGCUAUUAGUGUAUGAAAUCGGCUUUUAUCCAGAGGCACACAAAUGAACCUUUGCACUACCUAUCACAACGUGUGUAUCUUAGGGGAGAAAAAGGCCUUCAAACAUUCAUAUCUUCCCAAGCCACACGUCCCAAGGACCAGGAUCGUCUUGAGAGAAAGAUAAGGCAGGCUUCGCAAAGAAUGUAAAAUCACUUCUUCACUCAGGCUGGAACUUUGCUUAUGUGAAUAACGAACACUCCUCCUUUGUGCGACUGAAUACGUGUGACAGGGAAGAAGCCGCCCGGCACGGGUCCACAUGCACCUGCUUGGUUUUCAUUAUUUUCCGCCAGGGGAAAUGUACGAUUUCCCCACAGCAGGGAGGCCCGCGAUUGUGACACACGGGCUCCCGGAUGCCGUCGGGAGGCUUCCUGAGGAGGCCUCGUGGCUGCGACACGGGAGGCCCCGCCGCGGGCAGCGCCCGUCCCCUGCUUCUCUCUGGCUGUGAGGUUGCAGGUGGGCGGCCGGCGGGGGGCCGGUGGCCGCGGCACCUGCAGGGUCGGCGCCCGGGGCUCAGCUGCGGGCCAAGGCGGAGCUCCGCCGGGCCAGGUCCCUGCUCUGGCUCCGCCCAGAAGUUGGACUCAUGAAGGAAAGCCUGCCCCUGCCUCCCGGGAACCCUCUGUCUACAUCCAGGCCCUGGCUGUGACACCGGCCACAUGGUGACAGAGGGCACAGGCCCUGUCUUUGAGAACCGGAGGCUGGGAAAGAGGCAUGUGAAGAGAUGAUUAAGGUACAGACGAGGAAGGUCAUGGCGAAAGAAACAACAGCUGUGGGAUCGCAGGUCUGAGUGACCGUCUGGCCACCUUCUCAGGGUGUCUCUGUCUGCCUCCCUCCGGCAGCUCCGUCCAGAAGCCUCUGGACCAGAGUCACCCCUCCUCCCUCCCUCUCUGUCUUCCCAACCCCAAUCUGGCAGGUGAGUCACAUCAGCCACCCCUCAGCUCAAAGGUGGCCCGAGGCUUUUGAUCUCCCUUAGAGUGAAAGCCAGGGACAUGACAGGGAGUUAUGGACUGAAUGUCUGUGUCCCCCAAGCUCGUAUGUUGAAACCCUACCCAACAUGGUGGUGUUAGGAGCUGGGGCCUUUGGAGAUUGGACCACGAGGGUAGAGGCCCCGUGGGUGGGAUUCGUGCCCUUGUAAGAGUCACAAGAGACCUUCCUCGUCUUCUCUCCUUCCUGCCACGUGAGGAUCCAGGAAGUCUGCAGUCUGAAGAGGCACCAGAACCGGCCUCUGCUGGCACCACGACGUCAGACUUCCAGCCUCCAGAACCGUGGGAAUACAUUUCUGAUGUUCGUAAGCCACCCCACCUAUGGUGCUUUGUUAGAACAGCUCCAGCUGGCCAACACACAAGGAUCCUCAGAGCCCUGGAGGACCUCGUUCCUUCCUCCUCAUUUUCUGCUUGUCUUGCAAUCGGACGCCAGGUCGAUGCCAAAGAGAGACAGCUUGUUGACCAGAACACGAGAGGCCCUGGCCUCUCCAACACAGAACAGCCAGAGCAGAACAUUCUUUUCCUUGAACAGCGACCAAGCGCGUGAGGAAAUCCCUAUUGUGGUCACUGCAAACAUCGCUAUUCUAGAACAGUGCGUGUGUUACGACUACUGCUGGCUUGUUUGAUGUUUUGACAGAAUAACUAUACUGUUUUGAAUGGUAGCUUCAUACACAGGAAGCAGGUUACCGCCAGCUUCUUGUCUCCCAAGUGUGAGGGAGACACAACAGGAGGGAGGCUCCCCGCCCUUGGUCACCUGACAGGUGGAACGAAGGUAGGCUUGGUUCCCUUAGAGGCAGCCUCGGAGGAGACGGUCCAGGCUGGAUGCUCCUCAGCAUUGCUUACCCACAGCUCAGUCCAGUUGGGGCCCCAGAGCCCUGCUCCAGGGUGCUGGGGCUCAGCCGGCAGGGAGCAGGGACAGGGUCCCACCUUUGUAGGACUAGGCCCAGGCCUGAGGACAAGAGGGAGGGCUCCCGAAGGCUGGCCGGAGCAGUGCUCUUGGCUGGUUCCAUGUUCCUGUCAUGGAGACUGAGGACAGAACGACGGAAAGCCGGGCAGGACUUUUCAGCUUCCACGUGGCAUGCCCAACGGCCCAGUCUGCUUUUUGUCCUGUUUUCUUUCUUUUUUACGGAAUGUUUCGUAAAGAGUAGAACCCGCUUCGAGCAAUACGGGUAUUUUAGGGUUUUUUUUUUUUUUUUCUCUUCCGGUUUUAAUUUCACAAGUAAUAUAAAAAGAUUUUAUUAAAAUGGAGGUAGUUUGUAAGUGUGUAGGGUAAAAAUAUCCCCCUCUUCCACGAUUCCACCCCCUCCCCCUGCUAGACUCUAUUCUUAUUUCAAUAUGAGUUUUUCUAGCUUAUUUUAUAUGCACAUGCCUCUAUACGUGUGGGCAUGUAAACGUACGUAAGAUAUGCAUACAUAUAAUUAUUCUUUACUUAUUCUUUGCAAAAUAGAUGCCUUGGAUGUAAUGGUCUGUGAGUACAUACUGGCUUCUCUCCUUUAACUGAUGACAUAGUCAUAUAGACUAUGGAUGGGCCACUUACCAUCGUGUUGUAGAUAUGUGGAUAUUUCCCAUUUAUUUGUGUACUCAUUCAUGUACUUUUGCUGUUAUAAAUAUUACCCAUAGAGAACAUCUUUGGGCAUAUAUUUUUAAAUAUUUAAUGGCAUCCUUCGCUAUGCAGAGGUUUUAAAGUUUAAUGUAGUAAAUUGCAAGAGACACUCAAUUGGAACUGAUUUGAGCAAGAGUAAAAUGUGUUGACUCAUAUAACUGAAAACCUCAGAGGUCAGUCUCCAGGUACCGAUGGAGUCAGGGGCUCCAACAGUGUCAUCAGGACCCUGUUAACUUGAGCUCUGUUCAUGAUGGUGUCAUUCCGGGGAUCUCUGGGACGGUAAGAGCCCGGUAGCUCCCAAACCAUCCAUAUUUCUGGUCCGCUUAAAAAAAAAAAAAAAAAGAAUUGACUAGAAUAAUGAUACCUCAGUCUAGAGAGUAGUUAAAAUACUAACCCCCCCUCCCCACCCCACCUCUCCACACAUAACAAAACCAAAGGUAGUUAGUUCUGGGAGUGAUUCAGUAACACUAACUGACCCCCUCUAGAGACUGGGGGGCUGUGCUGUGCUGGCGGGAAUAAGGGCUGUGGGAGCCGCGGGGUUGACCUCCAGCAGCACCUGCCCCCGGGAGCAUCUCUCCCAAUCGCUCCUGUCCCAGAAACGGGAUCGUGUCACGUGCUCAUCCUGGACCGCUUCCGGGUCGGGGGGCUUUGCCAGCCGAUUGGCUGGGCCGGGUCACAUGCUCCCCCCGUACACCUGCCGCGGAGCUGAUCCUGAACGCCGUGAACGGACAACGGGAGAGUGUCUGUUUAUUGGGGUGUGGAACCAGAAGGUGGGGUGGGGGGACGCGUGCUGAAAACUCAGCACAGGAAGUUCAUACCAGGGAAGCCGCACGAACGUGGCCUCAUCCUGUUCGGAAUAUACUAUCAGUUUCUGAGAGUGAGUUUCCGAUAAAAAUAAACUCAGCCAAGUGUUAAAAGUUAAACAAAGAAGAGGCUGAUUUAGAAACGCGGGAAGAUUCACACUCUUGAUACUUAAGCUCUGGGAUCCUUUGAAGAAAAGCUUACCGGUAAGAGUUUCUACAAUUUCAUUAACUCUGGGGAGACAACGAAUGCAAAUGUUAUCGUCCCCUUUCUUCCCGUUUUAAAAGCAGUAAGUGCUUUGUCCCCGGGCCCACCUGCUUCUGCCAUUGCAUUUGGGUUCUUGGAAAGAGCCUGCAUCUCAGGACCUGCAGAGAAUUCCUUUUCCACUGUCCCGUGUCAGCUGUCAUGUGGCACCGUGUGACUCAGGCUGGGACAACCACCCCUAGCUAGGGACUCUACCGAGCGAUGGUGGCUGUGUCUUGCUUGACCCUGGGCCCUUUGCAGGUGGUUCCCUCCCGCCUGGCUCUUGGGGGGGGGCCUGGUCUCGGGGGCCCUGCCAGGCCGCCAUGGCGUCGAUCUUUCAGACCCCAAGAUUCCAGGCUCAAGGCGCGGCCAUCAUUAAUGUCCCAGAUUUGAGCACCACUGAUACAAUAAGCCAACGCCCAGGGGACAGAGUAAACUUGGGGAGAAGCAGACACCCCAGUGUGACAUGGGGGCCGCGGAGAUCACAACUCUGGAGACAGGUAGCUUGGGUUUGAAUCUUGGUUUGGCUUGCUUCACUGUGUGACCUUGGACAAGAGAGCCCCCUCAGCGUGCUUGGGUCCCUUUGUCCAGAGAGCUGGAGAGUAACAGUACUUACCCCAUGGGGUUGAUAAGUGACUUCGGUGAGAUACUUCCCAGGAGCGGGCUAGUAGCAGCGGACGUGCCAUGUACGGUUUGUCAAGAAAACCCCCAAGUCGUCUUGUCUCCUGUGUGUUGUUGACCCUCCGAUGGCCCCUAAAACAGAAAAGCUUCCCAUCAGUGACGUUCCACUCCUUCACCCUGGGAAGAGGUCAGCUGGGGCCCCCGCCAAGGGCCACACAGCUGGGGUGGAGGCAGCUGGACUUCAGCCCGAGUCCUGGGCCCGACUCCACGGCCGUGACUUUCCCCAAACACGCGGCCCUCCCGCUCCCCCGCCCCCGUGUUAUUCCGUCACUCUAAAAAAAUAAAUAACAGGCUCCGGCUGAGCUAGUUGGACGCCCUCCGCUCUAUUUACUUUCCAGCAUCUGCUUCAUAAACCGUUGGACGUCCGUGUUCAUUUUCCUUAUUGCUGUUAACCUCGCCUUCCAAUUAUGCAGAAUGUUCAGGCGCAGCGGCCCCCCUAUUCCAGGGGCCCCGUCUCUGGCUGACAUUUGCUGCUGUGUAUCUUGGCUUUGACCGACAAAGGCAGCGACUUGUCACGUUGGUCCCAUUUUCUUCAAAGUGCAGACGACUCCAUGACCAGACGGGUGUCUGGGGGGCCCCGGGGCUCCGGGGGCUGCCGAACAGCUAUUGGGUUCCGAAAAAAAUUGUAACACGAGCCAAUUGGUGACGAUAAUUUGUGGAAGAGGUACCGAUAGGCCAGGAAUUGGCUCGCGUCACCGGUUUUAACUUGAAUCGUAUGGAAGACGGAUGAGCCGAGUCAGGCCUGUCGUGCAGCAGAAAAUACUGCAAUGUCACACGGAACAAUAAAGGUGCGAAAGCUGAGCAGAAACAGAUGUUCUUCCAGAAAUUAGCUGUUCGCUACGUGCCUUUCUCUUGUUGAUGUUAUCACUACGAGAUCCAGAAUCAUCCCACGGCAAGGAAACACGGCCGCUAGCUGGGGAGCUGUCUGCCGCUUCAUCAGAUCCACUCAUGAACUUGACACAUGGCUUGUGCUGCUCAGCAAGACAAGGGGAAUCAUAUCUCUGCUGUUGCUCGCAGCAUGUUAGGACGAGAGGCCAGCUUGGGGUGCUGACCACAGGGUGUGCAGCCACCCAAUACGGCCAGGACCUUCGGCACCGUGUUCUCUGUUUUUCCAAACCCAAAAGACAGUCUACUAAGCCCAACACCACCCCUCUGGACUCUGGCGCCCAGGGCUUCCUCCCAGGACCACGAGACGUUUCCUGGCAGAGGAAAGGGUGCCUUUGCUACCUGAUGUCGUUCUUCUCUUUGCAAAAGGCUGCUGCUGUGUUAAUUUCAGAUACAAGUUGGUAAGGAAGCGCCCUGGUGAUCCACUCCACAUCAUGAACAUGUCCUAUCAAGAGUGACCACUGCUGGGGCGCCUGGAUGGCUCAGUCACUUAAAGCGUCCGACUUCGGCCCAGGUCUUGAUCGCAUGGCUCAUGAGUUCAAGCCUCAUGUCAGGCUCUGGGCUGACAGCUCGGAGCCCGGAG